rnacentral:rRNA from 1 species
UGGGGAAUAUUGGACAAUGGGGGCAAGCCUGAUCCAGCCAUGCCGCGUGAGUGAAGAAGGCCUUCGGGUUGUAAAGCUCUUUUAGUCGGAAAGAAAGAGUUGCAAUGAAUAAUUGUGAUUUAUGACGGUACCGACAGAAAAAGCACCGGCUAACUACGUGCCAGCAGCCGCGGUAAUACGUAGGGUGCGAGCGUUAAUCGGAAUUACUGGGCGUAAAGGGUGCGCAGGCGGUCUUGCAAGUCAGAUGUGAAAGCCCCGGGCUUAACCUGGGAAUUGCGUUUGAAACUACAAGGCUAGAGUGCAGCAGAGGGGAGUGGAAUUCCAUGUGUAGCAGUGAAAUGCGUAGAGAUGUGGAAGAACACCGAUGGCGAAGGCAGCUCCCUGGGUUGACACUGACGCUCAUGCACGAAAGCGUGGGGAGCAAACA